UCUCAGAUCCCUGGGACACUGUUUCUGUGGACACUGUCACCUAAUUGAUCCUGGUGGAGUGGCCUUUUUGAAGAAAUAGGACUGAAGGUGGAGGGACCGCAAUGCCCGGGGGAGGUCAGGAACCAGGGAGCUACUACGUGGGUGUGGACGUUGGAACGGGCAGUGUGCGUGCGGCUCUGGUGGACCAGAGGGGAGUCCUUUUGGCUUUCGCAGACCAGCCAAUUAGCCAAUGGGAGCCUCAGUUCAACCACCAUGAGCAGUCCUCGGAGGACAUCUGGGCUGCAUGUGGUGUCGUCACAAAGAAAGUUGUACAAGGGAUCGAUGUAAACCGAAUCCGCGGGCUUGGGUUUGAUGCUACAUGUUCUCUGGUUGUUCUGGAUAAGCAGUUUCGUCCUUUACCAGUAAACCAUGAAGGGGAUUCCCACCGAAACAUCAUCAUGUGGCUGGACCACCGGGCGGUCAGUCAGGUCCACAGGAUCAACGAAACCAAGCACGGCGUCCUGCAGUGUGUUGGGGGCGUGAUGUCAGUGGAAAUGCAAGCCCCGAAGCUUCUGUGGCUGAAAGAGAACUUAAGAGAGACUUGCUGGGAUAAGGCGGGACAUUUCUUUGAUCUCCCAGACUUCUUAUCGUGGAAGGCAACAGGUGUCACAGCACGGUCUCUCUGCUCCCUGGUGUGCAAAUGGACAUACUCGGCAGAGAAAGGCUGGGAUGACAGUUUCUGGAAGCUGAUCGGCUUGGAAGAUUUUGUUGCGGAUAAUUACAGCAAAAUAGGAAACCAAGUACUGCCUCCUGGAGCUUCUCUUGGAAAUGGGCUCACACCAGAGGCAGCCAGAGACCUUGGACUUCCUGCUGGAAUUGCGGUGGCAGCCUCACUUAUUGAUGCCCACGCAGGAGGCCUAGGAGUGAUUGGAGCAGAUGUGAGAGGGCAUGGCCUUGCCUGUGAGGGACAGCCAGUGACGUCACGGCUGGCUGUCAUCUGUGGAACAUCUUCUUGUCACAUGGGGAUCAGCAAAGACCCAAUUUUUGUACCAGGUGUCUGGGGCCCUUAUUUCUCAGCCAUGGUCCCUGGGUUCUGGCUGAAUGAAGGUGGUCAGAGCGUUACUGGAAAAUUGAUAGACCACGUGGUGCGGGGCCAUGCUGCCUUCCCUGAACUACAAGCCAAGGCCACAGCCAGAUGCCAAAGUGUAUAUGCAUAUUUGAACAGUCACCUGGAUCUGAUUAAGAAGGCUCGGCCUGUGGGUUUCCUCACUGUUGAUUUACAUGUUUGGCCAGACUUCCAUGGCAACCGGUCUCCCUUAGCAGAUCUGACACUAAAGGGCAUGGUCACCGGGUUGAAACUGUCUCAGGACCUCGAUGAUCUUGCCAUUCUCUACCUGGCCACAGUUCAAGCCAUUGCUUUUGGGACCCGCCUCAUCAUAGAGGCCCUGGAGGCGGCAGGGCACUCUCUCAGCACUCUUUUCCUGUGUGGAGGCCUGAGCAAGAAUCCCCUUUUUGUGCAGAUGCAUGCAGACAUUACAGGCAUGCCUGUGGUCCUGUCGCAAGAGGUGGAGUCUGUUCUUGUGGGCGCUGCUAUUCUGGGUGCCUGUGCCUCAGGGGACUUCGCUUCUGUACAGGAGGCAAUGUCUAGAAUGAGCAAAGUUGGGAAAGUCGUGUUUCCCAGACUUGAGGAUAAAAGAUACUAUGACAAGAAAUACCAAGUAUUCCUGAAGCUGGUUGAGCACCAGAAGGAAUAUGCAGCAAUCAUGAAAGGAGACUGAGCAGAGCGUGCAGGUGCCAGUGCCAGAAGGUUCUGCAUCACUACAUCAGGGAAUUCUGUCUUAUCUUAUAUUCAAGACCCUUUUGGGCCUGGUACCUAGAAAUUGCUCAGAAUAUUAUAAAAAUUACCGAAUAGGAUGACCCUACCCACUUGUGAAGGCCAGCUCUACAGUGGCAUUCAAUGCUAUCCAAAGGAUAUUGACAUCUUGGACAUGGUCCAGGUUGAAGGUCUCACUAGCCAGAUUGUGCAUUGCUGCCAUUAGGGACUGCCAAGACUGGCCUGGAGACCUCAUGAUGCACCGAGACUGGGCUUGCUGCUAUUCCAGUGAAAUCAGGUUCUGUCAUAACAGGUUUUCCUUGGGAGAAAAGAGCCAUGGUCAACUAAGUUUGGGACACAGAUUUUAUUUGAGAGUCAGAAGCAUAAGUGGCAAUAAGGACUCCGAGAGCAAGAGAAAUGUGAGCUGUAACUUCACUGGGGCAGCAAGAGACCAUAAUUAUCACACGGACAGCAAGAUACUAAGGAGUUGACCCUGCAAACUGCAUCAUCCAGGAUCUUUUUGCCCUCUGGCUUCCAGCCUGGUUCAGCCGACAAGAGGUAACCUCUCCCCACCGCCGCAAUGCCCAGAGCCUAAUGGUAGCUCCCUCUAUAACUACAGCUUCUGAUGGGCAGCAGCCUUCCAUAGCACUGGCUCAUGCCAGUCUCCCAAAAUAUUGCUGCCUCCCCUCACCUAAGAGUAGUAACAGCUUCUGGAUGCCUGGCGCCUCUCAUCACUUGUUGGUUUCCUCAACUGCAUCCAUACUUUUAGAAAUAGUCCAUUAAAUUCUCAUCAGAAUCCAACAGGAGAAUGCACAGUAUUCUGUUUCUGGCCAGGCCCCUGACUGAUAAAAUAAAUAUUUAUAAUAAGGUAGAGAGGGAGGGAAUAGAGUCCCAGUUUUGAGCCCCUACUAUAGGCCUAGCACAGGCACUGUUUAUAAAGAUAUUCAAUAAAUGCUGAUAAAUCUGAACAAAGGGGUAUGAGAGAGGAUUAAAAAAAAACAGAUGUCACAAGAAUUUGAGACACAGGAAUCAGAUCCUUUGCAUCAGAUGACCCCCUUUCCCUAAUAUGGAAUGUGAACAGAAGAAAGAAACUCAGGAUUGAUUUAGUCUGGACAACAACAAAAUGCUAGCAUGUAUUAAGAUAUAAAAUAUCGUUCUCAGUUUUAAUGCAAUUCAAAGAGAAAUGAUGUGGCAAGUGCAGGAUUUUCUCUCUGCCAUUUAAUAUAGUUGGGUAUAUAGUGGACGCGAGUGGGUAUAACAUCAUUAAUGGAAUGACUAGUAUUCUCAAAUGCCUAACCACUUUUUGGAAUGAUUUACAAUUUUCUUUUUUUUACACGUUUAUUUAUUUUUGAGACAGAGUGUGAACAGGAGAGGGGCAGGGAGGGAGAGGAAGACACAGAAUCUGAAGCAGGUUUCAGGUUCUGAGCUCUCAGCACAGAGCCUGACAUGGGGCUCGAACUCACAGACUGUGAGAUCAUGACCUGAGUCAAAGUCGGAUGCUUAACCAACAGAACCACUCAGAAACUCCUCUUUUUUUUUAAUUUUUAAAAAUCUAUUUAUUUUUAGAGAGAGAAAUCACAGGUGGGGGAUAGGCACAGAGAAAGGGAGAGAGAAUCCUAAGUGUGCUUAGCACUGAACCCAUUGCAUAAUUUUCAAAAAAUGUGUCAACAGAAAAUAAAUAUUUUGCCACCUUUUCACAUACAAACAAGGGGGUCAAUUGAAGAAUGACUAAAACAAUAAAGGAAACAGUGCCCCCAAAAUGUAUUGUUCGCGGGGUCUAGCACAGACACAACAAAAGGUUUGUGGGCAUCCAGUAAAUUCUGUUAUUAUUCCCAGAAACCACCAAAGUCAGCUCAUCCCACGCAUUUCUCUUAAUAAACUAUCCUACAUGUGACUUGAUCAGGAGAGGCCCUCUUCCUCAGAUCCUCUUUAUUGGUGUGUGUGUGUGUGUGUGUGUGUGUGUGUGUGUGUAUUAUAUACCUAUGUAUAUAAUAUAUAUCUAUAUAUAUUUUUUCUCUUUUGAUGAAUGUUUUUUUAUAGGAGAGCAGAGAGGUCUUAGAUCCUUUGUGUACAAGGUGUCUCCAUAACCAGACGGAUCUUGUAUAAAAUAACCACAGUGUAGGGGAGAACUCACAAAGAAAAAGACUCAUAAAGUAAAACACUUUGCUUUUUUUUUUUUUGCCAUUUUCAUCCUGUUUUGAUUUUCAACAUGUGUAAAUCAUUCUGUUGCUAUAAAACUUAUUAAAUGAAGUAGAAGAGCCAAGACCAAAAAUGUAAUAAUGAAGCAAUGUUUUAAUCCUUUACAAUUUUUUGGCAUGAUCAGCUCGAUUAUACUUGAUAUACACUUAAGGGUUUUGUGUUUCAGAGGGAACUUUUCUUAACACUGUUCAUGUGUCCCAGAUGUGACCUAGUUUCAUUCUGGGAAAUAGAUGCUGAGUGUUGCACAGGCAAGUGAAACAGACAUGGGUAUUUUAGGAGCCAUUAACGCAGUAUGCUUACAGGAACCAAAUAUGAAAUUCCAGCUGGCCAGUGAAAACCUUUCUUGAGCAUGUACUAUGUGCUGAGCACAGAAAUGUAAAAACAAAGGACAGGUCCUGAUUUUGAGGAGCUCAUAGACUAGUUAAGAGAGAUGAUAAACAUGUCACAUUGUAAGAGAAAACAAAUGUAAAGAUAAAACCAAAGCAUAAUAUGUUCAGAUAUCAGAAGGUUGAGGGUAGAGAAGCAUUAUAUACUAUGUAGCCUUUUUUUUUUCUGUUUUAGGAGUGUUAAGGGGAUGCUUCAUAGAGGAGGUGGAAUUAGAGCAAAUUCUGAAAUCUUAAUUCCAGUUUGCAAAUUCCCUUCAAUUAAGUCAUGACCUCUUUAUGGACAAAUGUCCACUUGGAUCAGCGAGAAAACAGAUGGAAAAUUACCAGCCCAAGUCUGGGCAUAAAAUAGAAGUAGUAAAUGUUUCCUCUUCUGUAUUUUUUUUAAUUGAGGUAAAAGAGUUUGCAACUAUUAACACUUUCUAAUUCCAAAAGGCCCUCAUCAUUCCACAAAGAAUCACUACACCCAUUGAACAGUCAUUGGCCAUUCCCCUCUCCCCACAGCACCUUGCAACCACUAAUCGGCCUUCCGUGUCUAUGGCCUUUAGUGUCUUGCUUCCUUCGCACAGCAUAAUGUUUCAAGGUUCCUCCAUGUUGUAGUAUGAAUCAGUACUUUAUUCCUGAUGAAUAUCCCAUUGAAUAUGUAUGCCACAUUUUAUUUAUGCAUUCAUCUCUUGGUGGACACUGGGUUGUUUCCACAUUUUGGCUAUUGUAAAUAGUGCCGCUAUAAACAUUCGCACAUAAUUUUUUUUAUUUAAAACUUGUCUAUAUGAUAUAUUCAUGUCAUCCGUGACUAGAGAUAGCUUGGCCUCUUCCUUUCCAAUUUGGAAUGUCUUUUCUUUCUUUUUCCAUCCUUGUCGCUCUGGCUAGAACUUCCAGUACAAUGGUGAAUAGAAGUGUCAGGAGCAGACAUCCUUGUCUUGUUUCUGAUCUUAGGGAAAGCUUUCAGUCUCUCACACUGAGUGGGAUUUUCCUAGAUGCACUUUAUCACGUUGAAGAAGUUGCCUUUAUUCCUACUUUUCUGAGUAUUUUUAUCAUAAAAGAUGAUUGAAUUUUGUCAAAUGCUUUUUCUGCAUCAAUUGUGAUGAUUGUGUGGCUUUUUCCCUUUUGUCUAUUAAUAUGGUAAAAUAUAUUGAUUGUUUUUCCUAUGCUGGACCAUCCUUGCAUUCCUGGGAUAGAUUCCACAUGGGUAUGGGAUAUAGUGCUUUAAAUAUGCUGUUAGAUUCGGUUUGCUUGUAUUUUGUUAGGGACUUUUGCACCUAUAUUCAUAAGGGAUAUUGCCCUACCAUUUUAUUUUCUUGCGAUGUCUUUGUCUGGUUUUGAUAUCAGGGCAAUACUGGCUUCAUAGAAUAAAGUGUUCCCUCCUUCUAUUUUUUUGGAAGACUUUCAGAAGGAUUGGUUUUAUGUCUUAAAACAAACAGUAAGCUCUACCAGUGAAGCCAUCAAGUCUUGAGCUUUUCUUUGUUGGAGGCGUUUGAUUAUUGAUUCAAUCUCCUUAUUUUAGGUCUAUUUAGAUUUUCUAUUUUUCUUCUUGAGUCAGUUUUGAUAGUUGAUGUGUGUGUAGUUUGUGUGUUUUGAGGAAUUUGUCUAUUUCAUCUAGGUUAUCCAAUUUGUUGAUAUAUAAGUGUCCAUUGAUUGAUGAAUAGAUAAAGAAGAUGUGAUUGAUAUAUGCAUAUAUGUAUAUAUAUAUGUCUAUACAAUGGAAUAUUAUUCAGCCAUAAAAAGAACGAGAUAUUGCCAUUUUCAACGACAUGGAUAGAACUAAAGAGCAUUAUGCUAAGCAAAAUAAGUCAGCUAGAGAAAGACAUAUACUAUAUGAUUUCACUCAUAUGUGGAACUUAAGAAACAACAACAAAAAAAAAUGAGCAAAGGGAAAAAAAGAGAGAGGGGGGAAACCAAGAAGCAAAUUCUUAACUAUAGAGAGCAGACUGAUGGUUACCAGAGAGGAGGUAAAUGGAGGGAUGGGGAAGUGGGGGAUGAGGAUUUAGAAGUGCACCUGUCGUGGUGAACAGCAGGCUUGUGUGGAAGUGUUGAAUCACUACAUUGUACAUUUGGAGCCAAUAUUACACUGUGUUUACUAAUUGGAAUUUAAAUUAAAACUAAGAAAAAAAAAAAAAGAAUACACUUCCAGGCUUUGCUGGCAAUGGCCCAGGUGUAAAAGAGCAUGGUAUAAUUGCAUGUGGCUUGAAAUGGCAGUUCUAUGUGAGAUCAUUACGUGUCAGCUGUGUGUGUACUCUAGGGGCUGUGUGUGCUUAACAAAAUGAUGUAAAAUACCACCUUAAAAAUGUUAAUAGUAUUCUCUUAUAAUAAUUUUAUUUCUAUAAAGUCAACAGCAAUGUCCCAUUUCAUUUUUUACCUUAGUAGUUUGAGUUUUAUUCCCCCCUUAAUUAGUAGAGCUAAACAGUAGAGUUUGGUAAUUUUGUUACCUUUUCAAAGAACCAACUUUUUAUUUCAUUUAUUCUGUUUCUAUUUUCUUUUUGUUUUUGAUUUUUUUAAUGUUUAUUUAUUCUUGAAAGAGAGAUAGAGUACGAGUGCGAGUGGGAGAGAGGCAGAGAGACACAGAAUCAGAAGGAGGCUCUAGGAUCUGAGCUGUCCGCACAGAGCCCGACGUGGGGCUCAAACUCACGAACCAUGAGAUCGUGACCUGAGCCAAAGUUGGACGCUUACCUGACUGAGCCACCCAGGCGUCGCUUCUUUUUCUAUUUUCUAUUUCAUUUAUGUCUAUUCAGAUCUUUACUGCUUUCUUCCUUCUGCUGCUUUCGGUUUAGUUUGCUCUUUCUUUUCUAGUUGCUUGGGAAGGUUAUAUUAUUGAUAUAAGAUUUUUCUUUCCUUAAAAUGUAGGCAUUUAGAACCAUAAAUUUCCCUCUGAGCAAGCACUGUUUAACAGAAUUACUUAAGUUUUGGUGUUGUGUUUCCUUAAUUCUUCUCACAGUAUGUUCUAAUUUUCUGUGACUUCUCUUUUGACCCAUUCAUUGUUUAAGAAUGUGUUUAAUUUCCACAUAUUUGUGAAUUUGCCAGCUCUCCUGUUCUUUUUUUUCUUCCUUCCUCCUUCUCUCCCUCUCUCUAUUCUUCCAAAAGGAUUUGUGUGUGUUUACGCAUGUGUAGUAAGAACAUUAAACAUGAAAUCUACUCUCUUAAAAAUUUUUAAGUGCAAACUACAGUAUCGUUAACUAUAGGCACAGUGUUGUACAGCAGAUCUCUAGAACUUAUUGGUCUUGCAUAACUGAAACUUUGUACCCAUUAAACAGCAACUCCCCAUUUUACCCUUUGUCCAGCCCUUGGCAACCACCAUUCUACUCUCUGUUUCUAAGAGUCUAUUUUAGAUACCUCAUGUAAGUAGAAUCAGGCAGUAAUCCUGUGACUGGCUUAAUUCACUCAGCAUAAUGUCCUCUAGGCUUAUCCAUGUUGUCACAUAUGGCGGGAUUUCCUUCUUUUUAAAGCUGAAUAAUAUUCCAUUGUAUGUAUACACUACAUUCGUCCGUUGAUGGACAUUUAAGUUACUUCUAUAUGUUGGCUGUUGAAAUAAUGCUGUGAUGAAUGUGGGAGUGCAUAUAUCUCAUUGAAGUCUUAAUCUCAAUACCUUUGGAUAUAUACUUGCUAGAUCAGAUGGUGAUUCUAAUCUUAAUUUCUUUGAGGAAACUCCAUAAUGUUUUCCACAGGGGCUGCACCAUUUUGUAUUUUACAUGUACCAACAGUGUACAAGGGCUCCAGUUUCUCCAUAUUCUUAGGAACAUUUGUUAUUUGUUUAACAUAAUAGACAUCCUAACAGAUGUGAGUGAUAUCUCGUUGUGAUUUUGACAUGCAUUUCUCAGAUGAUUAGUGAUGUUGAGAAUCUUUUCAUAAAUCUGUUGGCCACGGUACACCGUCUCUAUAGAAAUGUCAACUCAAUUGGGGCGCCUGGGUGGCUCAGUCGGUUAAGCGGCCAAUUUCGGCUCAGGUCAUGAUCUUGCGGUCCAUGAGUUCGAGCCCCGCGUCGGGCUCUGUGCUGACAGCUCAGAGCCUGGAGCCUGUUUCAGAUUCUGUGUCUCCCUCUCUCUGACCCUCCCCUGUUCAUGCUCUGUCUCUCUCUGUCUCAAAAAUAAGUAAAAUGUUAAAAAAAAAUUAAAAAAAAAGAAAUGUCAACUCAAGUUCUUGGCCUAUUUUUUAAUGAAGUUAGUUAGUUAGUUAGUUAGUUAUUUUUGCUGCUGAUUUGUAGGAAUUCCUUACACGUAUUGGCUAUUAAUGCCUUAUCAGCUAUAUCAUUUUAAACUAUUUUUCUCAUUCUUGGUUUGCCUUCUCACUCUAUUGACUGCCUCCUUGCUAUGCAGAAGCUUUUUAGUUUAAUUGCUUUUGUAAUUUUCCUUGUGUUGCUUGUGCUUUUGGAAUCAUAUGCAAGAAAUCAUUGCCAAACACAGAUUCCAUGAGCUUUUCCUCUGUUUUCUUCUAGUAGUUUACUACUUCUAGUAGUUUAUUUCUAAUUUUGUUCUAUUGUGGUCAGAGGAAAUGCUUUGUAUGGCUUCAGUCUUUUAAAAUGUAUUGAGAUUUAUUUUAUGGCCUAAGGUGUGGUCUUUUCUGGAGAAUGUUUCAUGGGCACGUGAGAAGAAUGUAUAUUCUGCUGUUGGGUAGAGUGUUCUAUAUAUAUCUCUUAGAUCUCGGUGGCUUAUAGUGUUGUUCAAGUCUUCUGUUUCCUUGUUGAUCUUCUGUCUCAUCGUUGUAUCCAUUAUUGAAAGUGGAGUAUAUAAAUGCCCUACUGUUAUUGUUGAGCUUUCUAUUUUUUUCUUUGUCAAUUUUUGCUUCACAUAUUUUGGGACUUGGUUUUUGUGUUUAUAAUUGGUAUAUCUUCUUGAUGGGUUUUUUAGUCAUUAUGUAAUGUCCUUCUUUGUUUGUUGUAACAUUUUUUUCUUAAACUCUAUUUUGUCUGAUAUUAAUAUAGCCAAUCCAGCUGUCUUUUGGUGAGUAUUUGCAUGGAGCAUAUUUCACAUCCUUUAAUUGUCACCUUAGCUUUCUUUGGAUCAAAAGUGAGCCUCUUGUAGAUAGCAUGUGACUGAAUCAUGUUUUUUACUCCAUUCUCCCAUUAUUUGCCUUUUGGUUGGAGUUUUAUUCCAUUUACAUUUAAUGCAGUUACUGAUAAAGAAGGACUUCUAUUUGGCCAUAUAUUUUUCACAUGUCUUAUAUCUUUUCUUUUUCCUCAUUUUCUCCAUAACUGCCUUCUUUUGUGUUAAAUAUAUAUUUUGUAGCAUACCAUGUUGAUUCCCUUCUCAUUUUUUUCUACACAUUUUUAAGUGAUUUUCUUAGUGGUUUACCAUCUAAUUAUAGGAUUACAAUUAACAAUUUAAUUUAUAGAGAUACAGUUUGAAUGAGAAAAAAGUUAGUUUCAAUUAUAUAUAAAAGUUUUCUUCUAUACAAUUCCAUCCUUCCCUUUAUGUUGUUAUUGUCACAGAUUAUAUUUUUAUACAUUAUGAGCCCAUCAACAUAGAUUUAUAAUUAUCUUACAGUUUUUUUUAAAUCAUAUAAGAAAACUAGGGAAUUCCAAAUUAAAAUACUGAUAGAUAUUUACCUAUGCAGUGACCUUUAUUGCUCCUUCUAUGUCUUUUCCUUCCCUUCACCCCUUCACUUUUCACUGAUCCUUUUGUUCCUUCCCUCCAUGUUCUUUCUUUUCUUUAGAACAUUGGUAGGAAAAAAGAGAAAGUUGUAUUUUAUUAUUAUUUUAAAUUGAGAA